GACGAACGCUGGCGGCGUGCUUAACACAUGCAAGUCGAACGGAAAGGCCCUGCUUUUGUGGGGUGCUCGAGUGGCGAACGGGUGAGUAACACGUGAGUAACCUGCCCUUGACUUUGGGAUAACUUCAGGAAACUGGGGCUAAUACCGGAUAGGAGCUCCUGCUGCAUGGUGGGGGUUGGAAAGUUUCGGCGGUUGGGGAUGGACUCGCGGCUUAUCAGCUUGUUGGUGGGGUAGGGGCUUACCAAGGCUUUGACGGGUAGCCGGCCUGAGAGGGUGACCGGCCACAUUGGGACUGGGAUACGGCCCAGACUCCUACGGGAGGCAGCAGUGGGGAAUAUUGCACAAUGGGCGGAAGCCUGAUGCAGCAACGCCGCGUGCGGGAUGACGGCCUUCGGGUUGUAAACCGCUUUCGCCUGUGACGAAGCGUGAGUGACGGUAAUGGGUAAAGAAGCACCGGCUAACUACGUG
rnacentral:rRNA from 1 species